rnacentral:rRNA from 1 species
CCUACGGGUGGCAGCAGUGAGGAAUAUUGGUCAAUGGACGAGAGUCUGAACCAGCCAAGUAGCGUGAAGGAUGACUGCCCUAUGGGUUGUAAACUUCUUUUAUAUGGGAAUAAAACGUUCCACGUGUGGGAUUUUGUAUGUACCAUAUGAAUAAGGAUCGGCUAACUCCGUGCCAGCAGCCGCGGUAAUACGGAGGAUUCGAGCGUUAUCCGGAUUUAUUGGGUUUAAAGGGAGCGUAGGUGGAUGGUUAAGUUAGUUGUGAAAGUUUGCGGCUCAACCGUAAAAUUGCAGUUGAAACUGGCAGUCUUGAGUACAGUAGAGGUAGGCGGAAUGCGUGGUGUAGCGGUGAAAUGCUUAGAUAUCACGAAGAACUCCGAUUGCGAAGGCAGUUCACUGGACUGCAACUGACACUGAGGCUCGAAAGUGUGGGUAUCAAACAGGAUUAGAUACCCGAGUAGUC